CUACAGAUCCACCGGAUAAGCCUGGUCCUUCUAGCCUUGGAAGGAACUCUCUUGUUACGCUGAAAAAAGGAAACAAUUCACCUUAUUAGAACGCCGUCCAAGUCAGGAAAACAAGUUACAGUCUGCUCCGCUGCUCCUCAGGACCACCAUAGUCUGCCUUUCUGUCCUCCAGCAAGUAAACUCCAUAACAGUGCAAGCCUCCACAAACAGGAACCUUUGAGCAACCGCAAAACCUCUAUAAGCUUUCGCUUCCGGUCCACCAGACCGCUGGAUUUUCCCCAAGGCCCAGAAGCUCAUGUACUUCCUGCGGAGGAUGAGGAGGGCCCACCUGCCCCCCUCUUAAACGGAGGUGGUGGACUCAGAUUCUAGCUUCCAAAAGCUUACCAUUCAGUUAUUGAGAUGAUUCCUUCCAGGUAUCACCUCACCCCCCACCCCAUCACAGAGGAACAAAGUACCUCCUCUCUUCAGCCAGGUGAACAAUCCCACCUUUAAUGACCGACCUUCAGAAUCAUAGACAGGUUUCAGAUAUUACAGGCUAACGAUGGAACCAGACGACCCGCUCGUCAGUUUCAAUUGGCAUGUUUCCGAGCAAUACCAGGCCUCGUCUAUAAAGCCUCAAACUCUCUGCGGUUCCAGACUUUGAGUUGGGAAAUCUUCCUGGAUGGGAAGCGAAACGUCUUCAAACCAGUGGCGGCCGGCCCAUAGGGGGCGCUGGGGCACCGCCCUCCCUGAU